ensembl:lncRNA
AGAAAACGAGGAUAUUUUUAAUCUCCUCUGGUGGAGUCCCUUUUCAACGACGUUCAAAGAAAACCAAAGAAAAGACACCAGGACAAGUGUUGUAUUGCUAGGCAAAAAAAAUUUAUAAAUUAAUAAAAACAUUCCCUUUGUAGUGUUCUUCUGACAGCUUUUCCCACUUUGCAAGUUGUGUCCUCUUUUUCUCUAAUGAUUUCAAAAUAUAGAAAAAUAUUUCUGACAACAUUCACCAUGACAUGAUUUUCAGAUGAUUUUCAUUCUGUUGCGUUAAUCAUUUCACAUACGUCUCCCACUUGCUUAUCGUUGUUUUUUUUUUGUUUUAUACACAUAUAUAUAUAUAUAUAUAUAUAUAUAUAUAUAUAUAUAUAUAUAUAUAUAUGUGAACAGUAUUUACACAUCAAAAUCAAUCCAUACCAUCUCUCAGCUUCAACCCAGAGACACCAGAGCAUGUUUUGCAUAGAUCACAGAGGGGAAAAUGUCAGAGGUGAAAGGUCAAAGCCUUUGAAAGAAACAAGAUCAUAACAAAAAAUAUCAAUAUCAAACAUGGCACAGAUUGGACAUUUCGAAGCGGCAAAUGAGUCCUUGAGAUGUUUACUGUCCCACCCCUCCACUUUCUGGUGGAGGGUGGUGCUGCAGCUCGCAAUGUAAAAACAGGAGUGGCAGUUCAACAUUUUGGAUUACUGUUUGCAUUCACACAAAAAAAAAAAAAAAACCCCAAAAGACAUUACAAGCUCUAAAUUAAGCAAAAACACGGAAAAAAUUUCAAAGAACAAUUUUAGUGAAAUUUAUUUUUAAAGUUUUUUUUUUACUUAAUUGUCAGAUCAAUUUUAGUGUUCAAGAAAAUGUUUAAAACAGCAGAAAAAAAAAGGUAAAAACAAACAAAAACUGUCAAACAUAAUCUUAUGGAGCUUAGCUUUGGGUUUACAACUCCUCCUUUUUUUUUAUUUGUCAGUUAACAGAGUCUGAGAACAACAAUACCAGGCCAAGGAAGCAGGUUUGGAGUCUGAGCAGAGCUGAGAUGAGACGCUGCAGCUCACACUGGCUGAGAUGCUCGUUCACAAAGAGCUCACUCGUUUUGGAAGGCCAUCGUUCAUUGUGCUAAACAAAUUAAGCAUGAACUUUUUUUUUUCAGAUUUGUUACAGCAUGAUUACUCCGUGGCCACUAGAGGAACAAAAACAUGUUGUGCAUCUAGCCGUGGUAGCUGCUGAACCGCAGAAAGCGUCAAAAUCAAUUUCCCGAAAUCAAAAAGAAUAAGAGAAAAAAAGAAAAGGCCUGUGCCUCCGUCCAUGACCCCUGUUAUGUGAACAAUUGGAGUGCUCAUGUAUAUAUAUAUAUAUAUUUUUUUUCUUUAAAAACCAGCAGAGUAUGAAAAGCAACUUCCAUAAAGCUAAGUAAAUCCAUCACAGUCACCAUGAAGCCUUGAUUAUAUUUGCCAGACUCCCUUUCAUUUAUCUGUGUGCAACAUGUGUUUUUUCAUAUAAUCACUGCUCUAAAUUAACUUCUGCUUACAGUCUUUCAAGGAAGACGUCAAAAGGCCCUGGUAGGAAAUAAUCCCCUUAUAAAAACGCCACAUUACAAACUUCAUCACAUUGGUUUUUGUAUACUUACAAAUGAACUAAAAAAGAUCAAAUAAAAUUAAAAAAUUCACCGCGAGUACAGACUGCAAUCCCUAAUUAGACAAAUUUAUUAAUGCCAAGUUCUUACUUAGAAGCUCCCUUUUCGUUAAUUAGGCUGAGCCUUAAAAUUUUUAAAUCAUUAAAAAACAAAAACUCUAACUGGCACCGUUUUGUGGGCUUGAAACGUUGACUAAAGAAGCACGAUUCGUGGAUAAGGUUCAUUACAGUGUUCAGACCGUGUACCAUCAAACUGUCUACGAUUGCUUAAACAGACAUUGUGAGUUUCAGGUAUCAGCGAUUGUCUUUGGUGUCCAUGAACACAAAUGACUGUAACUGUGACUGGAAGUGACACUAAGAAACACAGCAAGUACCAUCAAUCUUUAUCAGAGCUGUUUGUAAAAAAUAGUUUUGUUAGAAAACACAAUCUUGAGUGUAAAAGACAUGGAACCUGAUGAGGAAUGAGGCCCUCUGCUCUUGGUUUUUUGUUUCCCCUCCCUCGCUCUUCAGAUCACACAUGUACAGCAGACUGGGUGAUACACGGAUGGACGGAUGGCAGUGUGUAAAGUACAAGAGAGAUUUCUCUACCCAGAGCAAACAUUCAGCGUGAAACCUGUUUUCGCUGUCAUCGCCGAGCUCUGCAGGUGACUGCACGACUCACUAACCACUAAACCCUACUGCAUGGAAGCUAAUUUAAGCUCAGUACUAUUGCACAAACCAAACACUACUUAACUGUUAGUUUAUCAUAAAACCUCGCCUUAUCUGACAUGCAGACACUAUUUACCUAUUAAUAAAAAACCAGAAACAAACUAUGGGUCAUUACGAAAUGCAUCUAAGAAAUUCUGUAGAAAAGUGACUCACAGCCGGGACGAAAUCCCACACGUACGAGCAUGACGAACACGGCUAUGGCUUCGACGAGCUGAGGACGUCUCAGCUUGUUGCAGAAGGUGAAAGUGGUGUAAUGGGAAAGAAAUGUUCGACGUUUUGCAGGGUGGCAGGCAGUUUCUCUACUGCUAAGAGUUGAGAGAGAAUGGCUAGUAUGUGCAAAUAUGUUACUUGGAAAGCUGGGUCACAGGUAGAUGAUUUUACAAUGCACUCCUAAGAAUAAUGCACAUUUUUACAGUUUUUACAGUUUCUGGCAACAUUACAGAAAACUGCUACAGAUAUUACAGAGCUGUAAAAUGACUACUUACCAUUUUAUAAAAAAAAAAAGAAAAAAAAAGCAACAACCAAAAAACAAAUUAGCAACACAUUACAAAGGAAAACAGUGAAUAUCAAGUCUUGGCAAAAGCUUUUAACACUGUGUGGCUGCAACUUCAUUCAACCUCAAAACACAAUAAAUUAAAGAAAAGCUGAUCACAACCUGCAUCAGCACCUCCACAUGCACAUUUAUACUUGGUACCCAAUGAAAUAAAAAGAUAGAGUAGCUAUUUCACCAUUAAAAUGGAUGUUAGUGUUAAAAAAAAAAGUAGCAGCAUAUUAUUUUCCCAGAUGUCCUGUGUGUUCGGUUUGGCCUGUCUCACCGAGAAACAAAAUCUUUUUCAAGAAAAGUCAACGAACGCCUCAUGAGAUUCUGUUUCAUCAAAUUCAAAAUAAAGGGAAAUAAUGCCAACGCACAGGUGGAAUUUAAAAAAAUAAAAAAUCUUGCAGAAUUUCGGGUCUUUUAAAAACACUAAAUGACACACAAAGGAUGCGACAUGUAGAAGUAUGGAAGAGGAUUAGGGCCACUGGGGGAAAAAAAAAAAAGUGGGCACGUCUUUUUUUUCUUUUUUUCCAGAAUUAUUUAUUUCACUUUAAUCUCAGAAUUCUGACUUUUUUCUCAGAAUUCUGAGACUGAAGUCAGAAUUAUGAGAAAAAAAAUAAUUCUGAUGAAAAAGUCAGAAUUCUGAGAUUAAAGUCAGAAUUCUGAAUUCUGACUUUAAUCUCAUAAUUCUGACUUUUUUCUCAGAAUUCUGAGACUGAAGUCAGAAUUAUGAGGAAAAAAAAUAAUUCUGAUGAAAAAGUCAGAAUUCUGAGAAAAAAAGUCAGAAUUCUGAGAUUAAAGUCAGAAUUCUGACUUUUUUCUCAGAAUUCUGAGAAAAAAA